rnacentral:rRNA from 1 species
AUUGAACGCUGGCGGCAUGCUUUACACAUGCAAGUCGAACGGCAGCGCGGGCUUCGGCCUGGCGGCGAGUGGCGAACGGGUGAGUAAUACAUCGGAACGUGCCCAGUAGUGGGGGAUAGCUCGGCGAAAGCCGGAUUAAUACCGCAUACGACCUGAGGGUGAAAGCGGGGGAUCUUCGGACCUCGCGCUAUUGGAGCGGCCGAUGGCAGAUUAGCUAGUUGGUGGGGUAAAGGCCUACCAAGGCGACGAUCUGUAGCUGGUCUGAGAGGACGACCAGCCACACUGGGACUGAGACACGGCCCAGACUCCUACGGGAGGCAGCAGUGGGGAAUUUUGGACAAUGGGCGAAAGCCUGAUCCAGCAAUGCCGCGUGCGUGAUGAAGGCCUUCGGGUUGUAAAGCACUUUUGGCGGGAACGAAAAGGACUGUGCCAAUACCACGGUUCGAUGACGGUACCCGCAGAAUAAGCACCGGCUAACUACGUG